rnacentral:lncRNA from 1 species
GACUUCUCGAGACGGCUAACGCAAUUACAACAACAUAUUUAUAUUUUUAUAUAAAUAUUUAUUUGUUUUUAAAUCUCUCGAGAAUCAAGUCUUUUUGAGACUUAUUGAUUACUUACGACAUUAAGUGAAGCUAAACGAGUAUAACUUACUCAUUUCCGUUAAGUCAAUAACUUACCGUCGAAUCGUUCGAUUAACGAUUCGGUAGAGCUCGAUGACACGUAGUUUAGUUACUGCGCUUAUUUAGAAACUUAUUAGAUAUUCCGUGCUAGGGAUAUUGUAGAAUGCACGUUAGCAAGCCACGUCUUGGAAACGACAUCAUCGAAGUCGUUGCUUUUCAAAGCCAAGGCACGGUUGGAAUAGGAAAACCAUGA